AACUUUUGACAACGGAUCACUUGGCUCUCGCAUCGAUGAAGAACGCAGCGAAAUGCGAUAAGUAAUGUGAAUUGCAGAGUUUCAGUGAAUCAUCGAAUCUUUGAACGCACCUUGCGCCCCUUGGUAUUCCGAGGGGCAUGCCUGUUUGAGUGUCAUCAAAUCCUCAACCCCCUCCGAUUUGUUUCGGUGGGGAUUGGACUUGGAGGGUGCUGGCGAAGGUCGGCUCCUCUUUAAAUGCAUCAGAGGAGAAAAUGCCUUGUGCGCCUCUGGCCUUUCAGCGUGAUAAUGACGAUACGAUGCGGUCGAGCUCAAGGUCCGCUUCCAAAGGUCCUCGGACGAACGUAAACAUGACUUUUGACCUCAAAUCAGGUAGGACUACCCGCUGAACUUAAGCAUAUCAAUAAGCGGAGGCU
rnacentral:misc_RNA from 1 species